ACACCGACUCUGGAGGAAGACUGGAGCCUUUGCGGCGGCGCUGCCCCUCCCCUGGUCCCCGCGAGCUCGGAGGGCCCGGCUGGUGCUGCGGGGGCCCCGGGAGGUUGAAAACUAAGCAUGGGGAAGAGCUGCAAGGUGGUCGUGUGUGGCCAGGCGUCUGUGGGCAAAACUUCAAUCCUGGAGCAGCUUCUGUAUGGGAACCAUGUAGUGGGUGAGUGUUGUUGGAGGGGGAGGAACAGUGGAAGAAGUUGAAAAAUAAGGAAUAGGACUUGAUCACAACACACACAGGCUAAAAGCUGCUCCUGGUGGUUUUCCCCCCUGGAAGAAUAAAACUUACAUUGUAACAGAUCAACUCUACAACACUGAACAAAUACGGAGGGAGAAAGCCCUAUGUCCAAGAUAGGAAAGAGAAGCUGUCAUGUCACACUUGUGCUUAGCAUGGAAUUAGCAUAAAAUUAAUGUCCAUUGGCCGGGUGCGGUGGAUCACGCCUGUAAUCCGAGCACUUUGGGAGGCUGAGGCGGGUGGAUCACCUCA
rnacentral:lncRNA from 1 species